UGGGGAAUAUUGGGCAAUGGGCGAAAGCCUGACCCAGCAACGCCGCGUGAGGGAAGAAGGUUUUCGGAUUGUAAACCUCUGUCCUAAGUGACGAAGGAAGUGACGGUAGCUUAGGAGGAAGCCCGCGUACAUACGUGCCAGCAGCCGCGGUAAUACGUAGGGGCGGAGCGUGUUCCGGCAAGAUGACUGGGCGUAAAGGGCGUGUAGGCGGUUUUUAAGUCUGGAGUGAAAGUCCUGCUUUCAAGGUGGGAAUUGCUUUGGAUACUGGAGAACUUGAGUGCGGAAGAGGUAAGUGGAAUUCCCAGUGUAGCGGUGAAAUGCGUAGAGAUUGGGAGGAACACCAGUGGCGAAGGCGACUUACUGGGCCGUAACUGACGCUGAGGCGCGAAAGCGUGGGGAGCGAACAGGAUUAGAUACC
rnacentral:rRNA from 1 species